AUGCUUCAAUCACCAUUUUCCAUACUCCAAGCUGCUAUCCAAAUGACCAAGAAACCUUAUCUGCCCAAGUUCCAACCCAAACAGAGUUGCAGCCAUGCAAAUGGAAUUCAUUCCACAAUUAUAAACUCAGCACUAUUAAAGGGUAAUUUAUUAUUUGCCUUUUAUUGGAUAUUCUCUUUAGGCCCUAUGUGA